GCCAGGCACUGUGGUGAAUGCCCAUAACCCAGCUACCAGGGAGGGUGAGGCUGGAGGAUUUCUUGAGCUUGGGAUUUCUGAGCUACAGUAGGUGAUGCUGAUUGGGUCUCUACACUAAGUCUGGCAUCAGUUUGAUGUACUUCCAGGAACAGGAGGGCCCGGGCUGCCUAAGGAGGGGCAAACCAGCUUAGGUCAGAAACAGAGCAGGUUAAAGAUGCUGAUGAAUGGUGGGACCAGGCCUGUAAAUGGACCCUGUACUUCCUGCCUAGGUAAAAUAAGGAGAGGA
ensembl:misc_RNA Metazoa_SRP Metazoan signal recognition particle RNA